rnacentral:rRNA from 1 species
GAUGAACGCUGACGGCGUGCUUAACACAUGCAAGUCGAACGGAAAGGCUCCUGCUUGCAGGGGUACUCGAGUGGCGAACGGGUGAGUAACACGUGGGUGAUCUGCCCUGUACUUCGGGAUAAGCUUGGGAAACUGGGUCUAAUACCGGAUAGGACAACUUUUUGGAUAUUGUUGUGGAAAGCUUUUGCGGUAUGGGAUGAGCUCGCGGCCUAUCAGCUUGUUGGUGGGGUAAUGGCCUACCAAGGCGUCGACGGGUAGCCGGCCUGAGAGAGUGUACGGCCACAUUGGGACUGAGAUACGGCCCAGACUCCUACGGGAGGCAGCAGUGGGGAAUAUUGCACAAUGGGCGCAAGCCUGAUGCAGGGACGCCGCGUGGGGGAUGAAGGCCUUCGGGUUGUAAACUCCUUUCGCUAGGGACGAAGCUUUUUUGUGACGGUACCUGGAGAAGAAGCACCGGCUAACUACGUG